UACAGAUUGGGGUCGGGGACGGUGGUAAUGAGGGGGGUGGGGGCGUUGAGCGGAAGUGAUGGGCGUGAAUGGGGGGCGGGCGGCGGCGGAAGGGGAGUGUGAAAGCCCCGAGCUUAGCUUGGGAACUGCGCGCGAAACUACGUGGCGGGAGGGUGGCAGAGGAAGGUGGAAUUCCAGGUGUAGCGGUGAAAUGCGUAGAGAUCUGGAGGAACACCGAUGGCGAAGGCAGCCUUCUGGGCCAACACUGACGCUCAUGCACGAAAGCGUGGGGAGCAAACAGGAUUAGAUACCCGAGUAGUC
rnacentral:rRNA from 1 species